rnacentral:lncRNA from 1 species
CAACGCCGCUCUGGGGACGCGUCAGGCCCAGCGCACAGCCUGGGCAGCUCAGCCUGUCAGCUGAGCACGGGCGCCUCAAGGGGUGCGGCCCUCUCAGAAGGAAGUCCACACCUCUGCAUCCCUGCACCAGGACUCACCAAGACGCCCAUCCUGGAAAAGGUCCCCCGUAAGAUGGCAGCAAAAACUCCCAGCAGUGAGGAGUCUGGCUGCCCAAACUGCCCGUGCCCCCGCUGCAGCAGACCCUGGCCACGUACCUGCAGUGCAUGCGACACUU